AAUUAGGUACACAUCCUUUUGUGGCAUCACACAUAGUGAUUACCGCUUUCAAGCAAAAAAAAAAAAAGAUUAUUCACAUAACACUGAUGCUUGAAUUUGAAAUACACUCUUUUUCUGGAGAUGACAUUUUUGACUAAAAUUUCAUUUUUGA